rnacentral:rRNA from 1 species
AUACGGAGGGUGCGAGCGUUAAUCGGAAUUACUGGGCGUAAAGCGUGCGUAGGCGAUUUGCUAAGUCAGAUGUGAAAGCCCCGGGCUUAACCUGGGAACUGCAUUUGAUACUGGCAGACUAGAGUAUGAUAGAGGGGGGUAGAAUUCCUGGUGUAGCGGUGAAAUGCGUAGAUAUCAGGAGGAAUACCAGUGGCGAAGGCGGCCCCCUGGAUCAAUACUGACGCUGAGGUACGAAAGCGUGGGGAGCGAACAGGAUUAGAAACCCUAGUAGUCC